rnacentral:snoRNA from 9 species
AAAAGGGAUUAAAGGUGCAGCUGCUUUCCCAUUUAAGCAGCUGUCAAAAAGAGCCCAACGUGACAGUUUUCCUGUACGCCCACUGUUCUGUUGUCUGUAAUUGAUUUAUGACAUUUUGGGAAAACACAGCG